GCCCUGGGUGAAAUUGAGUUUGACACCCCUGCUUUACAUGCACCAAUCUGGUUCCUGUGUGGGUUCUGUUUCAGACUGCAGAGGCGAUCGUUAUGGGCCCGACUGCGCAGAGACCUGCGAGUGUAAGAAUGGGGCGCAGUGCGACCGACGCAACGGCCGCUGUCUCUGUGUCCACAGCUGGAUCGGACUCUCCUGUCAGGAAGGUGGACCCCCACUCUACAGCUAUGGAAGCAGCAGAGCGGACUCGCAGCACAACUCAUUAUAACAGCUCCACGGAGCUGGAAAACUGAAACUGGGACAGACGGACGAUGAAAUGAAAAAGUCUGACAAGAUGCAGCAGCAGCAGCCAUAGAGACUCUCUGAAGAGAAGUGCAGCUGAAAACAAGGUUGCAUCCUGGAUCUGUGGAAUAACGGUGACAAUAUUUCCCCAAGCAGAUUGCAGCGUCAGGACAUUGUUGCCUUCAGUGGGCUUCCAGUGAUGUCUUUUAACAUAAGUUUUCACAGGUACUGUACAUCAACCUUCCCAGAAGUCAAUGAACGUGAGGCAGCAGUUUUUAGUAAAACAGCAGUAUUUACACACCCCAGACUUUUUCCACAUUCUGUCACUUUAUUACCACAAGCCAUAGAUUUAUGCAAUAGAUCAAUACAAUACGGUGUUCAUUUGUGUUCAGUCUGAGUUAAUACUCUAACUCAGGGUGGGAUGCGUUAAAGUUUUAAUGUUCAGCUGUAAUUGAAACAUGUCUUGCUGCAGUUACAGCUGCAAGUCAGCUUUGCACAUAGAGACACAAACCCUGAUUUGUUGGAGCGAGAACAUCUAUGAAGAUCAGUUUUCAAGUGCUGACAGUUUCUAAAUUGAUUUUAGAUCUGGAGUUUGACUAGGCUAUUCUAACACAUGAAUAUGCUUUGAUCAAAACUGGUCUUGUUUGAAGGUGAACCUGCACACAUUUCUCAUCUAAAAGAGGAACUUCAACAAAUUCAAAUGUUGGUAAUUAAUCAGCAAAUUAGGAAAAAAAAAAUAUGGAUAAUUGGAAAUAACUCAUACCACUAGAUGGCAGCGAUAUGAUUCAAAUACCAGUUUUUGUUUAUGCGGAAAAUGCAACGAUCAGCAGCAGUGGGAUUUCUACAUCUGGGCUCCAUUAACAGCAACAGUCUACCAGAGACUAAACCUCUCCAUAAAUUCACUGCUGACCUGCCUGCUGUGUUCCUCCUUCUCUCAUAAUACUCUAAUAAAUAUCUAAAGCCUUCACAGGACAGCUUAUGCUAAAUUACAGAAGUUGACUCAAUUUAUUAGAUUACUUCUAAAAGCAACGUGUUGCACUGCAAAUCAUUUAGAGUUGCAGUAUAUUGAAACUUGUGGUUGUAAUCUGACAAAAUGUGGAAACGUUAGAUAUGAAUACUUUUGCAAGGCCCUUUACGUACCUCAGUCAAAUAAUGUGAUACUCCAGUUCACUAAAUGUUGGACGUCUGAGUUCUUUCUAUUUGAGUGACAUUAAAUGAAGCAGCAUUCACGGUCAAAUCUGACAAACUUUGCUCUUUAUUCUAACAGAUUUUGUGUAUAAAUGGUUUUGUAUUUAUAUUUUAUAUGGUUGUUUUUACAGCUGAACAAGGUGAGAAAUAAAGACGCACACUCAGGGUUGGUUUCCCAUUCUUCUCUUUUUAUCAUUACUUCGUUUAAAGAUCAAAGCUGUACAUCCUGUCUAAGUUUCAGAUUCAAGCACAGUGCAGAUAGCAACGCCUGCGAAAAAGAAAAAAACUCUAAAUAAAAAGAGAAAAAGGCAGAGGUGAUCACAACCAGAAGUAUGUACACAAAAGUCAGUAUGUACAGAAGGUACCAGGCUCCCACUGCAUCGUCUUCAGAGUGAAUUCGGUACAAUGCUGCACUGGAGCAUUCCUCAAAAUGCCCACGCAACACAAAUUCUUUGUUUUGGUCUUUUUUUUUUUGUUUGUUUGUUUUUUAAACUCCAUACAAUACUGACAGCAUAAUGCAGCAUGAUGGAAAAUAAAAAUAACAGCUCUUAUAACUUUCUCUAUGGCAUUAAAGGCUAAAACAUAAAAAUAUAUUCUCUGUUUGACUGAAGCUCCGUCCAUUCGUGGAUCUUUUACAAACUGUCAGAACAGGAAACAUGAUCAAACUAGGAACACUUAAAGCAUUCAUUUUCCCUGCACAGAUGAGGAUACCACACACACACACACACACACAGGCCUCAAACAUGAAGUUAUUCUGACAAUGUCCAGUUAGGAGUAACGGCGAUGGGCCAUUAAGAUGCACAGCGUUGCAGUUCAAAGGAAAACAAACAAUAACUGAGACGUGUUUAUUUUAGUUCUUGGCAAAAGAAGAUGGACACCACUGUGACCUCCAGUCUCUGAAAAUGAUGCUAAACUGAGGAAACUACUGGAUUAUAUUAACUAGAAAAAAACCCAAUCAAUGCUCAUUUAGAGGAGGGGAUUUGAUAAGUGCAUCAAUGUGGCUCCUUCCAUAAAUAAGAUCAGAAAAUUAAUCUGAAAUUUGGGUUUUCACUCUAACUCAAUGCAAAAAAAAAAAAAAUCCAAAAAACGUCAUCACAAAGAAUCAGGGAGUCCUGAGGCAAAAUAAUAUUUUCUUCUUACUGACUCUGUUCAGAAAAGUGCAAACCAGACCAGUGACCUCCAGGAGUCCUGCUUGCUGCAGGGAAAUGUGCAAACUCGACACUUUCAUUAUUUAUUCUUUACUAAAGAGUUGCACACCUAGAGGUUAGUUGGCUCCAUUGAAGUAAACCAUCAGAACUGCAAGAAUCAUCUGCAUAAGCCCUUUAGUUUCUACUGGUUUGUUCUGAGAACUGUAAACGUCGCAGCCCCUCCCUACAGCCCUCAGCCUCACAUUAAACUGCGAGUUUCCCCGUUUUAUAGUUUGGUUUUGAUCCGGUCCGGUGUGUUAAAUGGCUCCGAAUCAAUUCAUCCCUCUGCGCAUUUGUGCAGUAAAACUUUAUUAAGUCUUGCUUGUAAAUAAUUUUAUUUAACUAUGUGUGAACUUUGGAUUAUGAUUCUGAUCUGCAUUUGGGCAACUUGACAACUUCUGAUCAAACAUCUGGUAAUAUUUUAUUGCUCUGUCUCAGCAGGGAGCUACAUUCAGAACACGCUCAACCCCUUUAACUCUGUUCUGAGAAUAAACGCAGAACAUAUUGACAUCUUUUGGUAAAGAUCUGAGGUUCUGCAGAUUGACUUAUUUUUAUGAACCUUAGUUUCUGAGAGUAGAACUGUUUUUACAUUUUAUUACAUGACCCAGCCUUGUAUAAUAUUACAUUUAUCUUGAACAAUAGCCUCAGACUUCAGGUAGUGUUUUUAGCGCUCUUUUAUUCUGUGGAUGAAACAGACUGAUGCGUUAAUUAAGGAGCUUUAAUGAUGCUGGCAGGUAAAUUUCUGCUUCUGUGAUAAACCAGCUGUUCUCUCCUGGGAUCCGGUCUUUAUGCUGGGCUAAGCUGAUGGUCAAGUUUGGCAGAAAAUAUUAAAGUGGUGUCAGUCUCACGUUUCAGCAAGAAAGAAAAUAAAUGUUUUCUUUUUUUUUAUUUCCUGAAAUGUCACAUUUUCCCUUUUAAAGUCUCAGACUUUUUCUCCGCUCCCUGCAGAUGAAAACAUCAAGACACAGGAACUCCACAGAUAAAUCAACUUACUUUUCUUUUUUUUUUUGUUUUUUUUUUCCAGAGAAAACAGCGUCGGCUUUUGCCUGUUUUAUUUACUCAGACAGAAGAUACGACAAAUUGGACUAAAACGUGGAUCAAUUAUUACAGCAGGCUAAAGAGCAGGGCUGAUUAUUGGUCCCCUGCUACCACACACACACAUACACACACCUUAAAUCAGUUUACUAAACACUCAAAGAAAAAAAAAAGUUACAUCUCAUCCACUCUGAUUAUCCCUUCAAUUGUAUCUGAGAAGCUAUAACAUCUCUAUGAUUAUCGCUAAUGUGAAAGUGUUUUUUUUUUUUUUUUUUUAUCUGCACUGUUUGUUGUUUUAUUUUAUUUUAUUUUUUUUUUGUAGUUUUCUGUUAACAGUUUAUGAGCUGCAAAGAUUUAUGUACACGAUUUUCUAAGCUGGGAAGCGUCAUCUUGUUCCUCCCCGUUGGCAGAAGUGUCGCAUGCGAUCUGCUUGUGCUUCAGUCGCGGUAAGAGAGCACCUGAAGGACAAACGGCGAUGACAUCUGCACCGAGUCUGUGCGAUCGGGUCGUCUGCUGCUUUAACUGAACCGUACCGACCCGGAAGCACCGAGCCGCACUACUUAACGCAUUCUGCGUAUGAAGGGGCGUAUUGAUAACCACUUUAAGAGUUUGGUCAGGUAGAGAUAAAUAUGAAGUAGAGUCCAUCCCAUAAAUAGGUAUACUGAGCCGGACAGCACAUGCUUAAAGAUGACUCAAAAACCUUGCAGGAAGUGAAAGUGUGUCAGCUAAAAAGAGAUGAAGAAGAUCUUUGGCUCGAGCCAUGCUAAAAAGAAAA